CCCCUCUUAGGAUCUCACCUGGAGAGUUUCCAGUCCUCUACCAGUCUCGGCUAUGGGAGGGAGAGUCAAGCAGAGGCCUACCCGUUCCAUUCCUAUCUUGAGCAGCGGCUAGUGAGAGGAAGGUAAUCUGCUGCAAGU
rfam:Ornithorhynchus anatinus chromosome 5, whole genome shotgun sequence.